rnacentral:rRNA from 1 species
UACAGAGGGGGCAAGCGUUGUUCGGAAUUACUGGGCGUAAAGCGCGCGUAGGCGGCCUUCUAAGUCGUACGUGAAAUCCCCGGGCUCAACCCGGGAACUGCGUCCGAUACUGGAAGGCUUGAAUCCGGGAGAGGGAUGCGGAAUUCCAGGUGUAGCGGUGAAAUGCGUAGAUAUCUGGAGGAACACCGGUGGCGAAGGCGGCUUCCUGGUCUGCGACUGACGCUGUGGCGCGAAAGCUAGGGGAGCGAACGGG